rnacentral:rRNA from 1 species
CGCAUGGGGGAAGAAGGCUCUUGGGUUGUAAACCCCUUUUCUCUGGGAAGAAAGUUGUGAAAGCAACCUGACGGUACCAGAGGAAUCAGCAUCGGCUAACUCCGUGCCAGCAGCCGCGGUAAGACGGAGGAUGCAAGCGUUAUCCGGAAUGAUUGGGCGUAAAGCGUCCGCAGGUGGCAGUUCAAGUCUGCUGUCAAAGACCGGGGCUUAACUUCGGAAAGGCAGUGGAAACUGAACAGCUAGAGUAUGGUAGGGGCAGAGGGAAUUCCUGGUGUAGCGGUGAAAUGCGUAGAGAUCAGGAAGAACAUCGGUGGCGAAGGCGCUCUGCUGGACCAUAACUGACACUCAGGGACGAAAGCUAGGGGAGCGAAUGGGAUUAGAUACCCCAGUAG